rnacentral:piRNA from 1 species
UAACUCCAUAAUUAUGUGCACUUAUGAGU